AGCGUAAAAAUCGUAUUAAAAAAGUAUAAUACUCGAUGAAUCAUUCGUUCGUGAUUUUUUAUUUAUAAAAAAUAUGAAAUAUCAUUAUACCUGAAGACAAAUAAUCUUUUUUAAUAUUAUUUUAAAUUCCGAGUAAAGCGAGGGAUGUUUAUCGUUUUUUUUUUUUUGGAAUCCGGACACACUUGUUGUGGAAAGAUUAAUAAACGCUAAUCUUUUUAGACAUUACGUCGGGAGAACGGACAUUUUACCCAGAUGGCGUGCCAAAAGAUAAAAAUAAAAAUGUCUCUUUAUCUACAAAAUGUAUGUAUUAAACGACCUGCAGACA